rnacentral:rRNA from 1 species
CCUACGGGGUGCAGCAGUGGGGAAUAUUGGACAAUGGGCGAAAGCCUGAUCCAGCCAUGCCGCGUGUGUGAAGAAGGCCUUCGGGUUGUAAAGCACUUUCAGUGGGGAAGAAAGCCUUGGGGCUAAUACCCUCGAGGAAGGACAUCACCCACAGAAGAAGCACCGGCUAACUCCGUGCCAGCAGCCGCGGUAAUACGGAGGGUGCGAGCGUUAAUCGGAAUUACUGGGCGUAAAGCGCGCGUAGGCGGUCUGAUAAGCCGGGUGUGAAAGCCCCGGGCUCAACCUGGGAACGGCAUCCGGAACUGUCAGGCUAGAGUGCAGGAGAGGAAGGUAGAAAUCCCGGUGUAGCGGUGAAAUGCGUAGAGAUCGGGAGGAAUACCAGUGGCGAAGGCGGCCUUCUGGACUGACACUGACGCUGAGGUGCGAAAGCGUGGGUAGCAAACAGGAUUAGAUACCCUAGUAGUC